UACAAUUCUGCCUGUCCACCUUCUUCCACCUUAAUAUUUUAGAAUACAAACUCUUUUACUGUUCUACAUCUACCUUAACCUAGGAAGCCAUAUUUUUUCUGAAUAGCUUGCUAUUAUAUGCAUAGAGCUUCUAGCUUGGCAGCAAUGUCUUCAAAUCAAAGAGAAAGGUGAGCUGAAUUAUGAAACUUGAAGCAAUAACUUAAUUAAUUACUGGGAAUUCAUGUUUUAAAUAUAAUUUUGUUAGUUUCAUUUUCUUUGAUUAAACUUUUAUUAUGCUAGUAUAUUUGAACUUCAAGGUAGGACAAACUGACCAAAGAAAGUUUGAGUGGUUUUAGUUUAAUGCGUCUGAAGUAGACUUCAAGUUUGGUCAUUACUGCUAAUAUUGAGGGUUAUCCAAGGUUUCUUAGGGAAUAUUUUUAGUCUUCAGACUUUAGCUUAGUUUUUUAUUUAUUUUAUUUAUCCGUUUAGAUUUUAUUAUGAUUGAAGGGGACCGUAGGCGUAUUUGGUAAAGUUGUUGUCAUGUGACCAGGAGGUCACGGGUUCGAGCCGUAGAAACAGCCUUGUACAGAAAUGCAAGGGUAAGACUGUGUACGAUAGGCCCUGUAGUCCGGCUCUUUCCGGACCCCGCGCAUAGUGGGAGUUUAGUGCACCGGACUACCCUUUUAGUUUUUAUUAUGCUUGGAGAGUUACAGUUAUAAACUUUCUUUAUGAUUUUGGUUAGACAAGCAAGCUGGCUUUUAUCAGUUUAAUUAUGAGAAAACUAGAUAUUUUGAAGAACCUUAUAAGUUACUCAUAAUUUAUAGGAAGAAUUUACUCCUUAUUAACGUGAAUCACCAUGCAUUUACUGAAGGCUAUGUUGGGAUAUACUAUUAACCAUGCUGUUUAGAUAUAAUAUUAUAUUUUAUUUUUUAUGGAACAAUUGUUUAUUUAAUUUAUUCAAUUCAAUAAAGUACUAUUUUAAAUAGAUCAUUUGUUACAUGUGUAUCCUUUUAGUUAUGUAGUAGACAAUUUAGCGUAUGGAGUCUUAGCUCAUGCACAAAAGAUUAAAUUGUUGGUUCUCAUAAUUAAUAAGCUGUGUUCACAAUCAAAGAUAUUGUUGGACAAAAUAUCUUGAUGGUUGUAGCACAAGAUUAUCGUAUAAUUUGUCUUGAUUAUGGGAGUAGUUUAAUUCCAACUUCUUGUGCUAGUAUACUCGGUGUAUACUGAAUGGAUCAAGUAGAGAAAAGAUGUUUUUGUACUGAAUAUAUAAAAUAUUUUCUCUAAUUCAUUAAAUGAACUUAUACUCCUAAUCUUGAUCUAAUUAUUAUGAUCAAUGUAAUUUGUUUAUUGUUUUGAUUUAUCAAAAGGUACGACUCUAUUUAGAGUUAGUAUAUGCCUAAUAGAUUGGACAAUAACGAAUAACAUUUGUGAAUAAUAAUUAGUGGAUAGAAUCCAUGACUCGGUUUUGGGUUUGAUGAUACCCCUUUAUGUAAGCUUAUAAAUUUUCAUGUGAAAACUCGGCCGGUGGAUUUUGAAUCCGUCACAUGAAAUAGUUUAAGCGGAAUUGUAAAGGAUUUAACUAGUCAAUUGAAUUAAAUUUUCAGUGAUUUAAUUUAAUUAACUGGUAUUUGAAAUCUUAACAUGGGGAGUUAAAAUAAGUGUUAAUGAAUUUUCGAAAUUCAUAUUAAGGAGUUCAAUUGUAGUUUUUUAGUGAAAUAAAUUGCAAUUAAUUACAGUAAGAGUUAAUUCAUGCUAAUUUCGAAUUAAUACUAUAAUUAGUCGCCUCUUAUUAUUUAUGUGGUCCCUGCUAUACCUAGUAAAAACCUGGACAGACAUAGGUAAAAAGUAGCUUGGGAGAAAAGUUAUCCUUUUGAGUUAGAGUAGGAUUCUACUUGCAGAAUCCUACACGUUUUUGAGCCCCUAUUGUGGCUUAAUUUCGGGUCUAUUAAAGGAAAACUAGUUUCACCUAAUAACUUACCUUUCAGUUGUAUUGUUCUUGCCCACCCAAUAGCCAAAUCGUCCAAGGUUUUACUAGGCAAAUAGCAGAAGAUUGCAGCCUUGGAUUCUUGCUGCUUCGAAGGUUUGUGCAACUACUUCAAGAGGUUAGUGUUUCUAAUCUUGUUAUUAUUACGUUGUCUAGUUCACAUGUAUUUGAUGCCUGAUUUGUAUGCUUGCUUCCGCUGCGUAUAUUCUAACAGGCUAUUCUUUGCAUUGAGAUCAAGUUUGCAACCUAUUACAUGCAUUUAUUUGAAUCAAAUAUCAUAUGACAACUAGCAGAAUACUUUUGUUACCGAACUUCCUAAGAACUUCUCAUGUCGAGGUUCAGUUAUAUAUAUCCUUAAGUAUAUGUAAUUGUCUCAUUUAAAGGUUUAAUUGUUUGACAUAGCACACUUUUAGUUAUUUAAUUUGUCUUCAAUACAUCCCUUUUUGAAAAUAGGUGACAGUGAGACUCGAGAGAGCAGAGAGUUAGAAUUGUUAUUUAGAAAUGUCAUCAGGAUCAAUUUCUUCUUUGGAUUAGACCAAAUGGGAGGUUCUCAUUGUCAGCUUAGUAUUUCCCAAUGAGGAAAUGACACAGUAUAGUCGUCGUAAAAAUAAUAUCCGAAAAAAUGUAUAAAUUUGUAUAUAUAUAUAUACACACACUUCGUAUGUUAUAUACAAAAAUAUAAAAAUGUUAUAUAUUUUUUCGGCUACUAGAUAUAAAUAAUUUCUGGUGCGGAUUAAAAGUGAUAAUACUCCUUUCCCAAUAAAUUCUUUGCUUCCAUAAGCAGGAGAUAUUCAUUUAAAUUUUUACGCUUAUGGUGGAAAAGCUAGCAUUGUCAACCUUUCAAUCCAACAACAACAAUAACAUACUCAGUACGGUCUCACGAGUGGAAUCUAAGGAGAAUAGUGUGUACGCAGACCUUACCCCUACCUUGGGAAGAUAGAGAUACUGUUUCUAACAGACCUCAGCUCAAGUAAAUAUAUCACACUAAGAUUUCUCGAGAUCACUCAAUUUCAUAAGCAGAACAAUGUCGCCCCUUCAGAGACAUCGAUAAAAUUGGAAAGAUACAAAGAAUAUUAGCAUAACUUGUGUACAAGAAUGAUACAACAAAUCAAGAAUGGUCCAAAUUAAACUACGUAAUUUUUUUUGUAAAAAAGAAAGUAGUAGAAUAACGAGCGCUGCACUAAUGGAAAUACAUUAUCCAACAUCCCAGAAAUGCCAGAAGAGUGACAGCUUACUUUUGCCUUAAAAAUAACAAAUUUAUAUACGUAUUAGAGGUCCUCUUUAAUUAUUUUUUUUUAAAUAUUUUAAAUACUUGUUGCCUAGCUCAUAUAGAACAUACAAACUUUUAGUAGGAUGUCGACGAAUAAUACAUCACAUUUGAGUUUUAUUAUGUACAGAAACUGAGGCAAUUAAGUAUAUUAAGUCCAAUCAUCAUAUAUUUUCUAUGAUUUAGCAUAUACUUAUAAUGUAGCAUUACUUCCAGAGAUCAACUUGAGAACUUGAGGCAAGUUCUGAAGCCAUUUCUUGACUCUUAAAAUCAUUUUGAAGCUGCAGAUUCAUUUGUUCAGAAGCAGGAGAGCUACAG
rnacentral:lncRNA from 1 species